rnacentral:rRNA from 1 species
AGAGUUUGAUCCUGGCUCAGAAUCAACGCUGGCGGCGUGCCUAACACAUGCAAGUCGAACGAGAAAGCGGGGGCAACCCCGUGAGUACAGUGGCGAACGGGUGAGUAACACGUGACUAACCUGCCUUCGAGCGGGGGAUAACCCCGGGAAACCGGGGCUAAUACCGCAUAACAUCCCAAGGUGAAACUCCUUGUGAUCAAAUGCGCAAGCAGCUUGAAGAGGGAGUCGCGCCUGAUUAGCUAGUUGGUGAGGUAACGGCUCACCAAGGCGAUGAUCAGUAGCCGGCCUGAGAGGGCGCACGGCCACACUGGAACUGAAACACGGUCCAGACUCCUACGGGAGGCAGCAGUGGGGAAUUUUGCGCAAUGGGGGAAACCCUGACGCAGCAACGCCGCGUGGAGGAUGAAGUCCCUUGGGACGUAAACUCCUUUCGACCGGGACGAUGAUGACGGUACCGGAAGAAGAAGCCCCGGCCAACUUCGUGCCAGCCGCCGCGGUAAUAC